AAAUUGAAGAGUUUGAUCAUGGCUCAGAUUGAACGCUGGCGGCAGGCCUAACACAUGCAAGUCGAGCGGCAGCGGGAAGUAGCUUGCUACUUUGCCGGCGAGCGGCGGACGGGUGAGUAAUGUCUGGGAAACUGCCUGAUGGAGGGGGAUAACUACUGGAAACGGUAGCUAAUACCG
rnacentral:rRNA from 1 species